rnacentral:rRNA from 1 species
GACGAACGCUGGCGGCGUGCUUAACACAUGCAAGUCGAACGGAAAGGCCCUGCUUUUGUGGGGUGCUCGAUUGGCGAACGGGUGAGUAACACGUGAGUAACCUGCCCUUGACUUUGGGAUAACUUCAGGAAACUGGGGCUAAUACCGGAUAGGAGCUCCUGCUGCAUGGUGGGGGUUGGAAAGUUUCGGCGGUUGGGGAUGGACUCGCGGCUUACCAGCUUGUUGGUGGGGUAGUGGCUUACCAAGGCUUCGACGGGUAGCCGGCCUGAGAGGGUGACCGGCCACAUUGGGACUGAGAUACGGCCCAGACUCCUACGGGAGGCAGCAGUGGGGAAUAUUGCACAAUGGGCGGAAGCCUGAUGCAGCAACGCCGCGUGCGGGAUGACCGCCUUCGGGUUGUAAACCGCUUUCGCCUGUGACGAAGCGUGAGUGACGGUAAUGGGUAAAGAAGCACCGGCUAACUACGUG